CUUUGGGUUAAUAUGAAAGGUCCCCCUCAUAAUAAUGCCAUCUCUGACUGCUUUUGGCCAUGAGAACUGAUUCAAAGGACACUAAAGAUAGUGACCAUUCAUCACCAUCCAGUUAUAUUUCCAAGAAACCCAAUUCCCAUUUGCGAUAAUCUGAAAUUUUCUAUAUUUUUUUAUGCUAUUUUUACACUCUCUCCCUUCCACUUGAUGAAUAACUUUGCGUCAAGUUAUUCUUCUUCUUGUUUUUCUUUUCUUGCUUUUUAAAAGUCCUUGUUCCAUCUUGUGUCACUCUUUGUUUUUGCAUAUACAGCAUUACUCAAUUAGGGAACCAAGGAAUCACUCCCAAAGGGUGAGUCCACACCUUCAAUGGCCUAGAGAAGGGAAAGAGCUAAAAGGAAAAGCCAAGAACCAUGACUCUAACAUGACCAUCUUUGG
rnacentral:misc_RNA from 1 species